rnacentral:rRNA from 1 species
UACGUAGGCAGCGAGCGUUGUUCGGAGUUACUGGGCGUAAAGGGUGUGUAGGCGGUUGUUUAAGUUUGGGGUGAAAUCUCCCGGCUCAACUGGGAGGGUGCGCCGAAUACUGAAUGACUUGGAGUGCGGGAGAGGUGAGUGGAAUUCCUGGUGUAGCGGUGAAAUGCGUAGAUAUCAGGAGGAACACCGGUGGUGUAGACGGCUCACUGGACCGUAACUGACGCUGAGACACGAAAGCGUGGGUAGCAAACAGG